UGAAGGAUUUUGACAACCAGGGGAA
rnacentral:piRNA from 1 species